GUAUUUGUGCGAGUUAACGCAAGGUACAUUCUGAUACAUGAUGGGGUAUAUUAAGGGUUGCACGCGAGCUUCUGAUCUCUCUUCGGCUCGCACGCUUGGUUCACAGUGGGGUGGAAUAGAGAAGGGACACGCAUCCAGACGAGCACAUCCCGUUGCCGGGCAGCAUCAGUACCGAACACGCAUUCCGGACUUCGCUAAUGAUCCUUCCGCAGGUUCACCUACGGAAA
rnacentral:misc_RNA from 1 species